AUACGAAGGAUCCGAGCGUUAUCCGGAUUUAUUGGGUUUAAAGGGUGCGCAGGCGGGAGAUUAAGUCGGCGGUGAAAUUUUGCAGCUCAACUGUAAAAGUGCCUUCGAAACUGGUUUCCUUGAGUGUAGAUGAAGUAGGCGGAAUUUGUGGUGUAGCGGUGAAAUGCAUAGAUAUCACGAGGAACUCAGAUUGCGCAGGCAGCUUACUAAACUACUACUGACGCUCAGGCACGAAGGCGUGGGGAUCAAACAGGAUUAGAUACCCUGGUAGUCCACGCAGUAAACGAUGAUUACUAGCUGUUUGCGAUACAAUGUAAGCGGCUGAGCGAAAGCGUUAAGUAAUCCACCUGGGGAGUACGUUCGCAAGAAUGAAACUCAAAGGAAUUGACGGGG
rnacentral:rRNA from 1 species